rnacentral:rRNA from 1 species
GGUUAAGCGACUAAGCGUACACGGUGGAUGCCUAGGCAAUCAGAGGCGAUGAAGGACGUGCUAAUCUGCGAUAAGCGUCGGUAAGGUGAUAUGAACCGUUACAACCGACGAUUUCCGAAUGGGGAAACCCAGUGCAAUUCGUUGCACUAUCGUUUGAUGAAUACAUAGUCAAACGAAGCGAACCG